GCGCAGCAGGCGAGAAUCCUUCGCAAUGCGGGAAACCGCGACGAGGGGACUCCCAGUGCCUACGCUCAGCGUAGGCUGUUCCCGAGCCUAGAAAGCUCGGGGAGUAAGGGCUGGGUAAGACGGGUGCCAGCCGCCGCGGUAAUACCCGCAGCCCGAGUGGUGGCCACUAUUAUUGGGCCUAAAGCGUCCGUAGCCGGCCCGGUAAAUGCCUGGGUAAAUCGUGAGGCCUAACCUCACGAAUUCCGGGUAGACUGCCGGGCUAGGGGACCGGAGGAGGGAGAGGGUACUCCAGGGGUAGGGGUGAAAUCCUGUAAUCCCUGGAGGACCACCGGUGGCGAAGGCGCUCUCCUAGGACGGGUCCGACGGUGAGGGACGAAAGCCAGGGGAGCGAACCGGAUUAGAUACCCGCGUAGU
rnacentral:rRNA from 1 species